UUGAACGCUGGCGGCAGGCCUAACACAUGCAAGUCGAGCGGAUGAAGGGAGCUUGCUCCUGGAUUCAGCGGCGGACGGGUGGGUAAUGCCUAGGAAUCUGCCUGGUAGUGGGGGAUAACGUCCGGAAACGGGCGCUAAUACCGCAUACGUCCUGAGGGAGAAAGUGGGGGAUCUUCGGACCUCACGCUAUCAGAUGAGCCUAGGUCGGAUUAGCUAGUUGGUGGGGUAAAGGCCUACCAAGGCGACGAUCCGUAACUGGUCUGAGAGGAUGAUCAGUCACACUGGAACUGAGACACGGUCCAGACUCCUACGGGAGGCAGCAGUGGGGAAUAUUGGACAAUGGGCGAAAGCCUGAUCCAGCCAUGCCGCGUGUGUGAAGAAGGUCUUCGGAUUGUAAAGCACUUUAAGUUGGGAGGAAGGGCAGUAAGUUAAUACCUUGCUGUUUUGACGUUACCAACAGAAUAAGCACCGGCUAACUUCGUG
rnacentral:rRNA from 1 species